CCUACGGGGGGCAGCAGUAAGGAAUAUUGGUCAAUGCCCGGAAGGGUGAACCAGCCAUGCCGCGUGCAGGAUGACGGCCCUAUGGGUUGUAAACUGCUUUUGGAUAGGAAGAAUGGAUUGUAUUGAUAUGAUUUUGACGGUACUAUCAGAAUAAGCACCGGCUAACUCCGUGCCAGCAGCCGCGGUAAUACGGAGGGUGCGAGCGUUAUCCGGAAUUACUGGGGUAGGAGGGUGUGUAGGCGGCUGGUUAAAGCAUGGAGCUUAACUGCAUAAUUGACUUCGAUACUGUAAAGCUGGAAUUAAGUUGAGGUUGGCGGAAUGUGACAUGUAGCGGUGAAAUGCAUAGAUAUGUCAUAGAACACCGAUUGCGUAGGCAGCUGACUGAGCUUAAAUUGACGCUGAGGCACGAAAGCGUGGGGAGCGAACAGGAUUAGAUACCCCAGUAGUC
rnacentral:rRNA from 1 species